GUCUUAUUCUAUAUUAAUGCAAGGUUCUUCAUCUUUUUCUUCUUAAUUUCUACAUUGUCUCUAUGUGUUUUUGUAACUACGUGAUUACCUUACCAGUACUGCUUUAAUUUAUUCUAGCGUGAGGUGAGACAUAUUCUGUAAUAAUUUGCUUUUAAUAUACUAAUGUUGUUUGCUUGAGAUGCAUUUAUUCUGGCAAUGUACGAGAUGUGAUCUCAGUUCGAGAUGAUUUUCUGGCGGUGUUAUUCAAGAGUGUAAGCGCAAGAGGUUCUUCGAAAAUAAGAAGGACGAGAAGAAGCGGAGGACGCGGGAGGCCGCUAAGGGCAACAAAAGGAGGCGCCUCCAAUUAAAAACUCCACCAGAGACCAAGCCAAAAGCCACAACAAACAAGAAGGAAGAUGAUGAGGAUAAUUGGGAUCUGUCUGAAGAGGGAGAUAUCCCCUAUUAACUGCAUUCAACGUGCCUUCAAUUUAGAAAACUCUUCACCUUUUGAGUGCAAGAAACUCUUGGUCCAUGUAAAUGGCAUGAAGUGAAUCCUGUUCUUUGACAGAAUGCAUUAUAUCCCUUUUGCAU